rnacentral:rRNA from 1 species
CCUACGGGACGCAGCAGUGGGGAAUAUUGCACAAUGGGGGAAACCCUGAUGCAGCAACGCCGCGUGAGUGAAGAAGUAUUUCGGUAUGUAAAGCUCUAUCCGCAGGGAAGAAAAAAGACGGUACCUGACUAAGAAGCCCCGGCUAACUACGUGCCAGCAGCCGCGGUAAUACGUAGGGGGCAAGCGUUAUCCGGAUUUACUGGGUGUAAAGGAAGCGCAGGCGGCGCGGUAAGUCUGAUGUGAAAGCCCGGGGCUCAACACCGGGACUGCAUUGGAAACUGUCGUGAUGGAGGGUCGGAGGGGCA